AUAUAAGGAGCAGGAAGGCAAGUCUGAUGGUACCGAGACAACCAGUAAUGUUAACCAGAAGUUAUAUUACCACAGACUGGGGACAUCACAGGAAGAGGAUGUGCUCUGUGCCGAGUUUCCAGAUCACCCAAAAUGGAUGAUAGGUGCUGAGGUGACGGACUGUGGUCGUUAUUUGGUGAUGAUGAUCAGUGAAGGCUGCCACCCAGUCAACAGGCUGUACUAUGUAGAUCUACAGGCACUUCCAGAUGGCAUUAAUGGUGUGCUUCCUUACGUAAAAUUGGUGGAUAACUUUGAUGCUGAAUAUGAG